GUCUACGGCCAUAUCACCCUGAACGCGCCCGAUCUCGUCUGAUCUCGGAAGCUAAGCAGGGUCGGGCCCGGUUAGUACUUGGAUGGGAGAAAUUUUAUAAAGAACACAUGAACACUAGCUGGCCUAUGUGGCCU
ensembl:rRNA 5S_rRNA 5S ribosomal RNA